rnacentral:misc_RNA from 1 species
AAAAUAAUCCUACCCUUUGUGAAUUUUGUUUGUUUGAAUAAUUUUUUUUUUUAAAAAAUUAUUGGAGUCUUUCCCUUUAGAGUUUGCUUUUGAGUUUGUAAAAGAAUUCGAAAACAUCUAAAGGGGAUGGUCAAUAAUUUUUUUUGAAAAAAGACAUUUUUUAAAAUUAAACUUUUUGUAUUCAUUUGUCUAAAAAUUAUUUUUUAUAAUAUAAAAACAACUUUUGACAAUGGAUCUCUUGGUUCUCGCAACGAUGAAGAACGCAGCAAAAUGCGAUAAGUAGUGUGAAUUGCAGAAUACGUGAAUCAUCGAAUCUUUGAACGCAUAUUGCACUUUUUUAGUUUACUAAAAAAGUAUGUCUGUUUGAGUAUCAGUAAAAUAUUCUCAUAAAAAUCAUUGUGUAUUUUUAUGGUUAUGAGUGUUUUACAACGAUACAAGUUGUUUCACUUUAAAUUUUUUUUUAAUAUUGAAAUUUUCUAAUUUUAAUAAUUAAAAUUGGAUAAAAUUUUCCCGUCAAAAGGAAUAACCUAAACAAUUUUAAAUGAUUAAUUUUAGCAAAAUUUUCGAAAAAAAGGAAAAUUUUUAUUAAAAUAACUUGAUCUCAAAUCAGAUAAGAGUACCCGCUGAACUUAAGCAUAUCAAUAAGCGGAGGAAAAGAAACUAACAAGGAUUCCCUUAGUAACGGCGAGUGAAGCGGGAAGAGCUCAAAUUUGAAAUCUUCAAGGUUUUACCUUGACGAAUUGUAGUUUAAAGAAGUGUUUUCUGCUGAAGUUUUGGUAAAGUUCUUUGGAAUAGGACAUCAUAGAGGGUGAGAAUCCCGUAUUUGACCAUUAUUUUCAGCUUUGUGAUACACUUUCAAAGAGUCGGAUUGUUUGGGAAUGCAGUCCAAAAUGGGUGGUAAAUUUCAUCUAAAGCUAAAUAUUGGCGAGAGACCGAUAGCGAACAAGUACCGUGGGGAAAGAUGAAAAGAACUUUGAAAAGAGAGUUAAACAGUACGUGAAAUUGUCAAAAGGGAAGCGUUUGACACCAGUGUUGUUUUCUCGAAAAUCAAUUAAAAAUGGCUCGAUUUUGUAUUGCUGAGACCUUAAAAGCUCACUGUACAUUUUUCGUGUCUUUUUCAAUGCACUUUUCGUUUAACAAGUCAACAUCAGUUUCUUUUGUUGUAAAAGGGUCAUUGGAAGGUGGCUUUCUUUUCGGAGAAAGUGUUUAUAGCCUUUGGCCUCCGCAAUCGAAGAGACAGAGGUCUGCAGCGUAGACUCUUCGGGGUUAGAUACAUUUGUGCUAAGUUAUAGCUUUUUAUAGACAACUUGUUGACUAUAAUUAGUCUUGUAGCUUACUCGCUUAUGCUAUUUUACCUA